rnacentral:rRNA from 1 species
UUGGAGUAAGGAGCUUGUAUCAGGGGCAAGAAUUAGCCCAAGACACCUAGCUACGCCCCAUCCACAAGGAAACUCAGCAGUAAUUAAUAUUGAAUAUAAGCGCCAGCUUGAUUCAGUUAGAGUAAAAAGGGCAGGCAAAUAUGGUGCCAGCCGCCGCGGUUACACCAUGUGGCCCAAAUUGACUUCUUCCGGCGUAAAGAGUGAUUAAAGUAACAUUAUACUGUAGUCAAACUAGAAUAAAGUUGUGAUAAGCUUAUAUCUGGGAAGCCCAAAAACGAAAGUUACUACACCCCCAAACAACUUGAACUCACAACAGCUAAGAAACAAACUAGGAUUAGAUACCCUACUAUGCUUAGCCACAAACUUUUAAUUACAUCCGCAACGCCAGGGAACUACGAGCAAAGCUUAAAACCCAAAGGACUUGACGGUGCCCCAUAUCCCCCUAGAGGAGCCUGUCCUAUAAUCGAUAACCCCCGUUUAACCUCACCACUUUUAGCCAAAUCAGUCUGUAUACCUCCGUCGUCAACUUACCGCAUGAGCGAAUAAUAGUAAGUUUAAUGUUUUAUUUGACCAUCAAUACGUCAGGUCAAGGUGCAACUAAUAAAGUGGGAAGAGAUGGGCUACACUCUCUAGUUUAGAGAACACGAAAAACUUAUAUGAAAUUAUAAUU